rnacentral:lncRNA from 1 species
CUUAAUGACCACUGAGUCAGCAGCAGCUCUUUGCUUGCCAAGAAUAGCACAUUGUUCUUUUCCUUUUCAAGUAGUCUCUCCACAGGACAAGAAAAUCACAGAUUUUGUAGUACAUGGUAGAAAUUCAUGCAUCAGGGGCAAGAUUAUUUAAACAAAAUACAAAAAGUAUUCAAAUGAGAGAAAGCCAAGGACAAAGAUGAAUCAUUCUCUGCUUUAAAAUGACUUUGUGGGGCACCUGGGUCGCUCAGUCGGUUAAGCGUCUGACUUCGGCUCAGGUCAUUAUCUCACAGUUUGUGGGUUCAAGGCCUGAGUCAGGCUCUGUGCUGACAGCUCAGAGCCUGGAGACUACUUUGGAUUCUGUUGUCUCCCUCUCUCUCUGCCCCUCCCCCACGCAUGCUCUGUCUGUCUCUCUCUAUCUCAAAAAUAAAUAAACCCCCCCCAAAAAGAAAAUAAAUAAAUAAAUAAGUAAAUAAAUAAAUAAAUAAAUAAAUAAAUAAAUAAAUAAAUAAAAUGACUUUGCUUUACAACUCUCCACUGUUCUCUUCAAAGGUAUUUACUGAAAUGAUUCCUUAGCUUUACCAUAGAAGCCUCCCAUGGGCCAAAUACUUUUUCCAAGAAGACUCACAGAACAUAUACACACCUGUCAGGUAUUAAGGCUUUUGUUAGUUUCCAAAUGUUUCCCAGUCCUUUGAAAACUAGUUAAAUUUAGAGAAUCUAGAGAAGCACUUGCUUUUUUCCAAAACUUAUCAGAAAAAAAAAAAAAAGGGAAAGAGGAAAGAAGGCAGGAUAAGUAACGUGAAGAGGCUUAGAGUAGUAAAUAGGAAAUGUGAAUUAUUUUCUUGGCUAAACUACAAAUUUAUCUUGUGCCUGCCAGAAAUCACUCAGUUUUUUGUGACUGCAAAUUUUCCAUACAUCUCAACUGGUCUGGUUUGUAAAUUAUUGCAAGAAGUCAGCAAGCAGUGCCAUAUACUGUAAUUUCAUUGUGCUAAUGUUGCCAGAAUCUGUUUUAAUAUUCUCUGAACUCAUAAUGGAAUCAGGAGUAUAGAUUUUGAUUCAGAAUACGUAUGAUGUUUUAAUAUAAACACUUCAUGGAAAACCCAAAAUGUAUCUUGAAGCCUGUGUAGUCAUUGUUUACACUAGGGAGACUGUUUUACUUUAAUAACUAUGUUUAUGCUCACUUGCAUUUGUUCCAAUUUGAAAUUUCUCAAAUACGUAAGCUUCUUAUUUUUAUUUGACCGUUGUGACAGUCUCCAGAUUUGUCUAGGGACCAGUCUCCAUUUUCUUUCUGUCUAUUCAUCUUCACACUGCUCUCAUGGUAAAACAAAAAUUGGGUUCUGUAAUGAGCCUUCUUUAUCUAUAAAUUCAAAUCCACUUUGCCAGCUGUGGUGCUGAGCACAGAGCAAACAAUUAGACCCUUCUCCACUUCUGUCACUUGCUCAAGGAGCUCAGUCUUCAGUGACUGCUUAUUGCAUAAGAUAAAGUCCCAUUCCUUGGGCCUUUACAAUCUGGCCCCAUCUGUUUCUCUUUUCACGUCCCCUCCCUUUCUCCCUGUGUUCUUCGCACCGGUCACACUACGUUUCUCAAGGUACCAGAGCACCACAUAUGUGCCCUCACUUUUUCAUGCCUUUCCUAAUCUGUGUGAAAUGGCAUCCUCCCUUCUUGCCCUGGAAUUACCCCAGCUCAAAGGUCACCUCCUUCCCCACUCCACUUGGGCAGAGUUAGUCUCUGCCUCCACCGAGAUCUUGAGGAACUGUUUCUAUUCCUCUAUCACAUAGGGCCAUAAUUUUCUAAGUGUCUGUCUCUCCCACAGACACUUGGGGGCAGGUGCAUUUCUCCCUUCACUGCCAACAGCACAGCUUAAUGAAUGUGGUGUCUGUUCAUAAGAAGCCUUGAACGAGUGUUGGUCAAUCAGUGAAUAAACCAUUCGGAAAUUCCCCCCAUCCAAAUGAUGGUUGACCUUAAAAACAUCAAUGUUGGAGCGCCUGGGUGGCUCAGCUGAUUAAGCGACUAUUGAUCUCUGCUCAGGUCACAAUCUCAUGGGAUGGAGCCCCUGCCAGGCUCCAUGCUGAGCGGAGUGUGCAGCUUGCUUGGGAUUCUCUCUCUGCCUCCCUCUGCCCCCUUCCCUGUUCAUGCUCUCUCUUUCUCUCUCAAAAUAAAUAACCUUAAAAAUAUAAAUUUCUUGGGGCGCCUGGGUGGCGCAGUCGGUUAAGCGUCCGACUUCAGCCAGGUCACGAUCUUGCGGUGAGUGAGUUCGAGCCCCGCGUCAGGCUCUGGGCUGAUGGCUCAGAGCCUGGAGCCUGUUUCCGAUUCUGUGUCUCCCUCUCUCUCUGCCCCUCUCCCGUUCAUGCUCUGUCUCUCUCUGUCCCAAAAAUAAAUAAACGUUGAAAAAAAAAAUUAAAAAAAAAAUAUAUAUAAAUUUCUUGGAAAACAAGCUGAUUAUAUAUCAUCUUCUGCAUGGCAGAAUGCAAUAUUUACAGCUGUAAUACUGGAAAGGAGCUCAUAGAAAUGAGGGCUACUGAAUAGGGUAGAGGAGGCAACCAUCAGUCAAAAUCUUUGAGGGCUUUUUAUAUGCUAGGUUCUGUCCCAGGUGCCCCCUAUUGCUUGGUUUUCAUAAAUUGAACCACAGCAGUUAUUUUCUUUCUUUUCAGAACCCUUUCUAAAAGCAAAGCAAAGCAAAACAAAACAAAACAAAACAAAACAAAACAAAACAAAACAAAACAAAACGUUAUGAGGGCACACACAUCUACUUUUAGUUAGGUCUCUCCCAAGAUUUGGUUCUGUGCUCUAUGAGAACAAUGUUGCUGUUUUCGUGAAGGUGUAUCUUCCUAUUUGUGUCAGCCAGGUGUUCCUAUUAUGUGGGCAUGUGCUCUGGAUAGGAUUCCAGACCCUCCGUGUGCUCCUGUGGCCGACACAGGUGGGAGAAAACUCUAAGUAGGAACCACAGAGCUCUCCCCAGACCACUUGGUGUCUCGUUCUUUCCCCCAUGGACAGGAACGUCUGGAGAAAGCAAGACAAGGGAGACUGUGGAGAGAAGUUCUUAUUUGGGAAACCAGCAGUAAGAGCCACGUGGGUUGGUGGUUUCUGUGCAAACAUUCUCAUCUGUGAAACAUAAAGCAGGAAAUAGUGGUUUUCAAUAAACUUAUAUCUCCUAUCAAGAACAUUAUAGAGCACCAAAGAAUUUGCUCCUCAUUGUUUCUCAUAUAUGGGGUUUUCUAGCCAGUGUCUGGAAGGGAAUUGAACUAAAAAUGAAGCCAAAGUGAAAAGCAGCUUU